ncrna:unclassified sequences RAGATH-18 RNA
CUUGUGGAGAGUACAAGAACUUGUAAGUAGUAUUUGGAGUUAUCCGAUACGAAAACAUACUCGAUGAAGCAAGAA